CGUUGGUGAGCUGACAAAAAGCGUUAUAACCAACGAUGUCCGAAUGGGGAAACCCGGCACUUCGGUGUCAUCUGCAACUGAAUACAUAGGUUGCAGAAGCGAACGAGGGGAACUGAAACAUCUAAGUACCCUUAGGAAGAGAAAUCAAUUGAGAUUGCCUUAGUAGCGGCGAGCGAACGGGUAACAGCCGAUGGUUUAUGUUGUAGUGGAACGGUCUGGAAAGUCCGGCGAUACAGGGUGAUAGCCCCGUACACGAAGCAUGAUAUAUCACAUAUUAAGUAGGACGGGACACGUGUUAUCUUGUCUGAAGAUGGGGGGACCAUCCUCCAAGGCUAAAUACUCCUGGCUGACCGAUAGUGAACCAGUACCGUGAGGGAAAGGCGAAAAGAACCCCGGAGAGGGGAGUGAAAUAGAACCUGAAACCGUGUACGUACAAGCAGUCGGAGCCCUCUUUGUGGGGUGACGGCGUACCUUUUGUAUAAUGGGUCAGCGACUU
rnacentral:rRNA from 1 species